ACGGAUUCUGCGACCAAUUACGGACCAAUUAAGAUCCAGAAACCUGAGAUACAGGUGGGGAUUCCCACUGGCACUGAGUGUCACAUAUAAAGGCACUGAGCACACGAUACACUCCCAUGCGGACAUACCACUCUUCACACAAGCCCUCAAUCUCACAGUCCCACACAUCAUGGACUGGUACGGACUGCUGCAAACGCCACUUCCACCUCAACUACCGCAGAGAUCCCGAUGGCAACAAACGCCCAAGAAGAAAAGAACAGAUACCCAGGACCCGACGCUACACUGAACAGAUCCC